rnacentral:rRNA from 1 species
CCUACGGGAGGCAGCAGUGAGGAAUAUUGGUCAAUGGACGCAAGUCUGAACCAGCCAUGCCGCGUGCAGGAUGACGGCGCUAUGAGUUGUAAACUGCUUUUGUAAGAGGGUAAACCCCGAUACGUGUAUAGGGUUGAAAGUAUCGUACGAAUAAGGAUCGGCUAACUCCGUGCCAGCAGCCGCGGUAAUACGGAGGAUCCGAGCGUUAUCCGGAUUUAUUGGGGUUAACGGGUGCGUAGGUGUUUUGAUAAGUUAGAGGUGAAAUGUCGGCGCUCCACCCCGCAACUGCCUCUAAUACUGUUGGCCUAGAGCAUAGUUGCGGUAGGCGUAAUGUAUGUUGUAGCGG